rnacentral:lncRNA from 1 species
UUCUUAACUCUGUUGCUAUGGAACAAAAGCUGCGCGCGCAGCAUCAUCAAUCGAAAAAAAAUGGCGGACGACGUCGACUCGCUGCGUGUUUUUCAGAUGUUUUAACGAAGAACACAGACAAUGACUUGAUAUUUACGUUCAUGUUGGUGGAAUGGAAGAUGGUCUGUCUGUUGUUGUAGCAGAUCAGCACUGACAGUGAGGUAUUUACAGAAUGAAUGACUGUAACAUGUGAUUUCUUGAUUAAUCUGGAAAAGUGCAAGUUCACAUUCUGGUUGGCUGUUCAGUGUAAUCAAAUUCCACCCACAUCAGAGGUGCUCAGGGAGAGGCAGCAAUAUGGAACAUAGUGGACAACAUGCUAGAACACAGACAGAAACAUUUUGGUUGUCAGUUGAUUCAAGGUUAUACUGUGGUAUGUUGAGGUGACUUCUGCUCCAAAAUUACCAGUACAAAACACAGGAAGAAAUUAAGCAGUGGAAGCCUGAUAUUAAAAACAUAUUAUUUAUUAAUUAACAUUUGUGUAGAGUGUGUUAUGUAAAUGGAAAAUGUGUAUAUCUUACACAGUAUCUAGACAGUAAAACUUGAUCUCAAAUAGAAGAAAUUUCAAGAAUACUGUAUGGCUUACACCAAAAUUAUUGACAUAGAUAUAACUAAUGAGUUUUAGCUGAGUGAUUCAAACUUUAUUACCUGCAUCAUAUAGUCAAGUGCACUGUUUCUUUUUAGUUACGAACUUUAUUUGCUUGUGGUAAAUCACUGUUUGAUGCUAUGUUCACUAGUAAGUCAGUCUGUCAAAUAUUGUUCAGUCUAAAAUACUCAUUGAGAAGUGUUUCUAUACUUAUCAGAAAAAUUGCCACAAAUAUCACACUAACCGUUGAUUCAUAUCUCAAAGGUCAAGGUCACACUUACAGGUCAAAGGUCAAGUCAGAUAUUAGCCUGACUGUAAAUAUGACAUGCAUGAAGCCUUUUUAUUUGGCAGAUAUAAUUGUCCAACAAGAUGGUGUUUCAAUGGGUCAGGUUCACAGUUCAGGGUCAAAGGUGGUGCCUGAUACAGCAAAUAUAAUUAAUGAACAUCAUCAACUUUGGAAAGUCAGAGACUUUGAAAAUUGAUUACUCUCCUUAAAAAGUUUCAAGAAAUCUUACUGUCAUGAAAUAUUUUGCUUAAUUUGCUCACUUUACAUGUAGUUAUGCAUGAAACAUUCAUUAUACUGUGAACGAAUUUUGUAUACCAUUUUAACAAAGAAAUAUUUGUUAAGUUUAAAAUAGAUGCAAGGAAGAGUGUAAUUAUCUCCGCUGAAUAAUAUCAGUAUAGAUGUGUGUGUGUGUGUAAUGUGUGUGUGAAAACCAUGAUUUGGUCAGUGAAAAUACAGGUAAUUUCAUUUGUCCUUGUUGAUGGUACCUUGAUCUCUGGAAAGCGCUUAAAUGCAUUUUUGUUAUUGUCUGAUUUUCUGGUAGACAAAUGUCUUGCGCUUAAUUCACCUUUUAUGGCACUUGUUGGAGAUCUUGCUAGCUACAUAUCAUGUUAAUAUGUAAUGAGUGAUAUGUUCAGUAAAAAAUAAUUCUUA